rnacentral:tRNA from 1 species
UUCUAUAGGAUGUCCCAAGUGACGGUGGUAUAGCAUAGCUGUCUUCCAAGCAGUUGACCUGGGUUCGACUCCUGGCCAUAGAAA